CACCUCAGCCUCCCAAGUAGCUGGGAUUACAGGCAUGCACCUCUAUGCCCAGAUAAGAGUGGUGAAACCAGAACAAUAUCUCACUUUCAUUAUACUACCUGGCCAGAUUUUGGAGUCCCUGAAUCACCAGCUUCAUUUCUCAAUUUCUUGUUUAAAGUGAGAGAAUCUGGCUCCUUGAACCCUGACCAUGGGCCUGCGGUGAUCCACUGUAGUGCAGGCAUUGGGCGCUCUGGCACCUUCUCUCUGGUAGACACUUGUCUUGUUUUGAUGGAAAAAGGAGAUGAUAUUAACAUAAAACAAGUGUUACUGAACAUGAGAAAAUACCGAAUGGGUCUUAUUCAGACCCCAGAUCAACUGAGAUUCUCAUACAUGGCUAUAAUAGAAGGAGCAAAAUGUAUAAAGGGAGAUUCUAGUAUACAGGUAAAC
rnacentral:lncRNA from 10 species